UACGGGGGGGGCAAGCGUUGUCCGGAAUUACUGGGCGUAAAGGGCUCGUAGGCGGCCAACUAAGUCGGAUGUGAAAUCCCCAAGCUUAACUUGGGAACUGCAUCCGAUACUGGAUGGCUUGAAUCCGGGAGAGGGAUGCAGAAUUCCAGGUGUAGCGGUGAAAUGCGUAGAUAUCUGGAGGAAUACCGGUGGCGAAGGUGGCAUCCUGGACCGGCAUUGACGCUGAGGAGCGAAAGCUAGGGGAGCAAACGGG
rnacentral:rRNA from 1 species